AAAGACCCUCCGCCAGGCGCAGCGAGUUGUCGUCGCCUGCCAGGGCAGCGCCGCCGCGUGCCGCUUCCUGAUGGGCGGAAGGCACGCCGGCCAGCUCCGCGAUGUGGCGGACGACAUCGACUCGUACCUGUUGCUAAUCCCCCUUGUGAGCCAUGUCCACGGCGCCCGUCCUGCGAAACCUACCUUCCCUGAUGGUGGUGCAUUUACACCAUCAAAGGACUCGGAAGAAGCACUGCUAUUAUUUAGCAACCAUUCAAAUUCAGAUGCAAGGUACACAAUCAUAUCCCUAUAUAUAAAGAUCUUAGCGAGCCCCCAAACUGAGGAAUCAAACUUACCUAAGUAGACCAUUCCAUCGUAAGAAACCUACACUCAGCUUGUUUCCCUUGGUGAAAUGAGGGCGCUAGUUUUGUAGACAUGAAGUCAAGUAAUAAUUACAUUGUAUCAUCUAUUUUGCUACUUGCUUAAUAUCGUGAGGUUUGACAUGAAUGCUGGAGCAAGAAGGAAGCUGCGGGCUAAGGGCCCCGGGACGCCCGAUGAGGACAAGACCCCAUAGGCCAUAAGUUUGCCGCCGUGUAGGCCUGACAAAGGCAUCCGCGUUGGAGGAUCCUUCUUCACAGAACGCGGGGAUGCAUACAGCUCAAUUACAAUGAAUGAUAAUCCUCCUCCAUGUCUCCAUAACCGCCACAAACUCAAG